GGGGGCGACCGGUUUCGACGGCUAGGAUGGUUCGUUGGGAGCGUGCCGAGGAUGAGCAAACCUCGCUAAUACGGGCUCAAAACAAUAAUUGUCGAAAAUUCUUUCGGCCUCGCUGCUUAGUUAGCGGCGACGGACUACCUUGUGAUUGCCGUUUCACUCGGAUAGUCUGUCACAAUAACGGCUGGUGGUCUGUUGCAGCCGUCUUAUGCAACUUGCCACGAGAUUAGCAAGACUGGCUUUUAUAAAUCCUGCUUGUGGGAGAUGUUAAAGCGAGACUAAUAUACAAGCUACGCACGUAGCGCCCUUCGGGGUGUCAUAGUCGGACAGGAGUUCGAUUCUCCCCGCCUCCACCA
rnacentral:tmRNA from 1 species